UUUGGUCAUGCGAUGGGGAUUUGGGAUUUGGGAAACGGCGUACGCCGGUUAACGGCGCCGGCCGGACUGGACGCGGUUGCUUGCGUUGAUGGCUUCAUAUUCUUGACUGAUCGGAUGACCUUUUCUACCAGCCUAGUACACGGUGCAAGACGAACACAACAGAACAACGUUACUUACCAUUGCUACCAACAAAAGUCGUUUUUGAGAUUUCGAAGAAAUUAGCCAUCAUCUGUUUCACUUAGGUCCAAAGACACCUUCCAAUAAUCGUUGAUCAUCGCGGUCACUCGGGCAAUAGGCACGAAGGUGCUUCUGAACAUAAAAUUAUGCAUGCUAUAGUCGUUCGUGCUAGGCAUUUUCCGAUCGAAAACUUUAUAAAGGUUAAGAGAUGACGUCAAAAGUUUGACGAGGACAUGAGGGAUGAAUGAAUCAACGCUGCCAUCGUUGCGAGCCCACAAAAGCGGCUAGUCGUCCGACCGUGCAAUUUGUUUUUUGUUUUUUCAAUUUGUUUUUUUUUAGAAUCUAUUUUUUCAAUUUGGUUGUCACAUUUUUUUUUCCGAGGGCUUCGUUUGUCGCUUUCUCCUAGGCUUUAUGCAAAUGUACAUUUCCAUUCCCUAAGCCCAGCAAUCCAUCAAUGCCAGCCAAUCCAUGAGAACAAUGCUGGGCCGGUGAGAACUGUAGGCCUAAUCACUUGACUGGUACCGUAUUGACGGCCUGUUAGCCCUGUUCGGCCUGGUUCCCUGAUGAAGUUGAAUGGGAGGCAAGUAUCAGCCUAUUCUGAAGUUUCACUAAAAAAUGUUCUACAGUUUCUCAUAAUAAUAAUAUAAUAACAAUCUGAUUGUGCUAAAGAAAGGUUACGCGUCGUUGGGUAUUUUUUUCGAACGAUCAGCUACCUCUCUUGAUCCUCACAUUGUUAGUUUGUAACGUUUGACCAUUGCAACAUAAAAACCUUAUUUCAACAAUUUAUGUGCAUGUAUGUAACGUCGUAACACAUUAAAACUUUGCGAUAUUUUAGUUGGACUCAUGCAACAAAACAUCAUGUACAUGUAGCAAAUCCCCACUCAUUCAACAGCCAACUGAAAAAAAUGGGUAGCACCAUAUGCAACGGAAAAACAAUGUAAGCAACAUUUGGAAACGGCGCAAGCAAUAGUGCAAAAACACAUCCGUGUCACGAACAUAAAAAAAAAAUUGGAAACAGGGCAAGCAACAGUGCAAAAACACACCCGU
rnacentral:lncRNA from 1 species